GCGCUCUUCGUCGGCGUG
rnacentral:miRNA from 1 species